rnacentral:rRNA from 1 species
AGGGCGCAUGGCGGAUGCCUUGGCUCUCGGAGGCGAUGAAGGACGUGAUAAGCUGCGAUAAGCUUUGGGGAGGUGCAAAUGACCUUUGAUCCAGAGAUUUCCGAAUGGGACAACCCAAUAUCUUGAAGAGGUAUUAUCCAACGUUGUUGGAGGCUAACGCAGGGAACUGAAACAUCUUAGUACCUGCAGGAAAAGAAAAUAAACAAUGAUUCCCCCAGUAGUGGCGAGCGAACGGGGAACAGCCCAAACCAUCCAUGUUACGGCAUGGGUGGGGUUGUAGGACUACGCCGUUGCAUGAAGACAUCAGAGAAGAACUUUCUGGAAAGAAAGACCAUAGAGCAUGACAGUUGCGUAUUCGAAUGUUGUCGAAGCAUAGUAGUAUCCUGAGUAGCGCGGAGCACGAGGAAUUCUGCGUGAAUCUGCCGGGACCAUCCGGUAAGGCUAAAUACUCCCGAGAGACCGAUAGCGAACCAGUACCGUGAGGGAAAGGUGAAAAGCACUUCGAACAGAAGAGUGAAAUAGUUCCUGAAACCGUGCGCCUACAAGCGGUCGGAGCUCGUUAAUGAGUGACGGCGUGCCUUUUGCAUAAUGAACCUACGAGUUGCCUUUGCCGGCAAGGUUAAGUGUGACGACACACGUAUCCGAAGCGAAAGCGAGUCUGAACAGGGCGUAUAGUCGGCAGUGGCAGACGCGAAACCAAGUGAUCUACCCUUGGCCAGGUUGAAGGCUGGGUAACACCAGCUGGAGGACCGCACCAAUAAGCGUUGAAAAGCUUCUGGAUGAGCUGAGGGUAGGGGUGAAAGGCUAAUCAAACUUGGAGAUAGCUCGUACUCCCCGAAAUGCAUUUAGGUGCAGCCUUGCGGGUUACUGAUGUGAGGUAGAGCGACUGAUAAGAUGCGAGGGCUUCACCGCCUAUCAAGUCUUGACAAACUCCGAAUGCGCAUCAGUUCUACCGCAGGAGUGAGGGCAUGGGUGCUAAGGUCCGUGCCCGAGAGGAGAAGAAUCCGGACCACCUGCUAAGGUCCCGAAAUGACAGCUAAGUUAAACUAACGAAGUCUGACUGCUAAGACAGCUAGGAUGUUGGCUUGGAAGCAGCCAUUCAUUUAAAGAGUGCGUAACAGCUCACUAGUCGAGGAGUCGGGCGUGGAUAAUAAUCGGGUAUCAAGUUGUCUACCGAAGCAGUGGGAUCAUUAAUAUGAUCGGUAGGGGAGCAUUCCAGUCAGCGUCGAAGGCGUACCGUGAGGUAUUCUGGAGCGUCUGGAAAAGCAAAUGUAGGUAUAAGUAACGAUAAAGGGGGCGGGAAACCCCCUCGCCGAAAGACUAAGGUUUCCUGAUCAACGCUAAUCGGAUCAGGGUCAGUCGGGUCCUAAGGCUCAGCCGAACGGCGAUGCCGAUGGCAGAAACGGUUAAUAUUCCGUUACUACCUUCAGGAGUGACGUGGAGACGCAGUAGUGACAGUGCCGCCAUCUGACGGAAUAGAUGGUUGAAGGGUGUAGGAGUCGAUCAUGGCAGGCAAAUCCACCAUGAGAUCCGAACCUGACAGUAUGCCGCGUCCUUCGGGACAAGGCAAUAGUGCGCGUAAGCAUGCUGCCGAGAAAAUCCGCUAAACUUAAUCCUGCAGGUACCCGUACCGCAAACGGACACACGUAGUCGGGAUGAAUAUUCUAAGGCGCUUGAGUGAUUCACGGUUAAGGAACUAGGCAAACUGACCCUGUAACUUCGGGAUAAAGGGUCCCUACCCUUUUAUGGGAGGGCGCAGAGAAUCGGUCCAGGCAACUGUUUAACAAAAACACAGGGCUGUGCCAAAUCGAAAGAUCCAGUAUACAGCCUGACACCUGCCCGGUGCUGGAAGGUUAAGAGGAGAUGUCAUCGAUAAGAGAAGCGUUGAAUUGAAGCCCCAGUAAACGGCGGCCGUAACUAUAACGGUCCUAAGGUAGCGAAAUUCCUUGUCGGGUAAGUUCCGACCUGCACGAAUGGUGUAAUGAUCUGGACGCUGUCUCAACCGUGAGCUCAGUGAAAUUGUAGUAUCGGUGAAGAUGCCGAUUACCCGCGAUGGGACGAAAAGACCCCGUGAACCUUUACUAUAGCUUAUCAUUGAAUCUGGGCACGUGAUGUGUAGGAUAGGUCGGAGGCUUUGAAGCAGGUACGCCAGUAUUUGUGGAGCCGCUGUUGAAAUACGACCCUUUAUUUGUUUGGAUUCUAACCCGUGGAACGGGGACAUUGAUUGGUGGGUAGUUUGACUGGGGUGGUCGCCUCCAAAAGCGUAACGGAGGCUUCUAAAGGUGCCCUCCGGCCGAUUGGUAACCGGCCUUAGAGUGUAAUGGCAUAAGGGCGCUUGACUGGGAGACUAACAAGUCGAUCAGGUAGGAAACUAGAGCAUAGUGAUCCGGUGUUUCC